CCCUUAACUAUUAAAAGCUUCGUUUUGGUCCGUUAACUUACUUUUUGGUUUCGUUUUGGUCCCUUAACUCAUCAUUCGUCAACCACUUUGAUCCUUUAUGUUAGGAUGAAUGUAUUAGAGUUAAGGGACCAAAAUGAAACCAAAAAAUAAGUUAAGGGACCAAAACGAAACCAAAAAAAUAAGUUAAAGGACCAAAACGAAACUUUUAAUAGUUAAGGCACCAAAAGAAAAUCCAAAAAUAAGUUAUGGGACCGAAACGGAACUUUUAAUAGUUAAGGGA
rnacentral:pre_miRNA from 1 species